GGGGGCUGGACUCGAUGACCUCUUGAGGUCCCUUCCAGUCCUAUGAUUCUAUGAUUCUAAGAUAUGCAAUGUGCACAGGAGGACAGCUUCUCUAUGUAGGUGGCUCAAGAGCUGUACAUUUUCCCUAACUCACAGCUCUAAGGAUAUCCAUUGAAUUGAAGAACCAUUUUACACCCACAGAAAUCCUCCUCCCACAACAGCAUAUAAACUCAGAGAAUAAAAAAAGGGUUACCAUUUUGUAACUGUUGUUCUUUUAGAUGUGUUACUCAUGUCCAUUCCAUUUUAGGUGUGCGUCUGCCCAUGUGCACCCUUUCAUGCAGCGGUAUAUUAGGGUGCACGCUCUCAGUUCCUUCUUGCCAGCAACUCCAACUGUGGGGUAGGAGGGCAGGAAAUGGAAUGGACAUAAGCAACACAUCUUGAAGAACCACAGUUAUGAAAAGUAGAGUCUACAAUAGCAUCAACCACAACACUGCUCUCAGGCCAAUCAGAAUGGAGAAGCCAGGAGUCAGUAACACAUACUCACCCACCGUGCUGAUGAAACUCCAGAGAACUGGUCCCUUUCCUGCCAGAGCUAGGAAAACCUUUACUAUGGACUUGCAACAGGCU